CAGGAAAUAACUGUAAAGGGAAUUCUUACACUGCAAAAGUAAGUUUUCAUUUAUUGCAAUUAGGCAUAUGAGACGUAUGGUUUACAGUAACAUCAGCCUUCUGGUUGGAUUCGUAUUACAUGUAUUUAACAAUAACAUAUAUGCAAAAUGAUAAACUGUACACAUCGGUCCCUAAUAUUAAAGAAAAGAUGAAGAGUUGGUACCAUUGUUCUGAAGAUUUGAAGUAUUGGAAGAAGGCAUC